rnacentral:rRNA from 1 species
CAAGCGGGGUACCAGUCACUCUGGCAAAUCCGGGUGGCAAUGGGAAGCCGUGAUGCGGAGCGAAAUAAAGUAGCGAAGUCCGUGAGCCAUGCGUCAAGAAAAGCCGCUAUCGUUUAUACCGUACCCGUACCGUAAACCGACACAGGUGGAUGAGGAGAGAAUCCUAAGGCCGGCGGAAGAAGCAUUGUCAAGGAACUCGGCAAAAUGGCCCCGUAACUUAGGGAUAAGGGGUGCCUGGGAAACCAGGCCGCAGAGAAUAGGCUCAAGCAACUGUUUAGCAAAAACACAGGUCUAUGCGAAACCGAAAGGUGAGGUAUAUGGGCUGACGCCUGCCCGGUGCUGGAAGGUUAAGAGGAGAGGUUAGCGCAAGCGAAGCUUUGAAUUUAAGCCCCAGUAAACGGCGGCCGUAACUAUAACGGUCCUAAGGUAGCGAAAUUCCUUGUCGGGUAAGUUCCGACCCGCACGAAAGGCGUAAUGAUUUGAGCGCUGUCUCGACAAUGCAUCCGGUGAAAUUGAAGUACCAGUGAAGAUGCUGGUUACCUGCGCCAGGACGGAAAGACCCCAUGGAGCUUUACUCCAGUUUGGUACUGGGACUCGGUAUUGCAUGUACAGGAUAGGUGGGAGGCUAGGAGAUAGUAACGCCAGUUAUUAUGGAGCCGCUGUUGGGAUACCAUCCUUGCAGUAUUGGGUUUCUAACCAGCCGCCGUGACCCGGCGGUGGGACAAUGCCAGACGGGGAGUUUGACUGGGGCGGUCGCCUCCGAAAGGGUAUCGGAGGCGCCCAAAGGUUCCCUCAGAAUGGACGGAAACCAUUCGAAGAGUGCAAAGGCAGAAGGGAGCUUGACUGCGACACCGACGGGUGGAGCAGGUACGAAAGUAGGGCUUAGUGAUCCGGUGGUAUUAAGUGGGAAUGCCAUCGCUCAACGGAUAAAAGCUACCCUGGGAUAACAGGCUUAUCACUCCCAAGAGUUCACAUCGACGGAGUGGUUUGGCACCUCGAUGUCGGCUCAUCGCAUCCUGGGGCUGUAGUAGGUCCCAAGGGUUGGGCUGUUCGCCCAUUAAAGCGGUACGCGAGCUGGGUUCAGAACGUCGUGAGACAGUUCGGUCCCUAUCCGGCGUGGGCGUAGGAUAUCUGAGAGGAGCUGUCCUUAGUACGAGAGGACCGGGAUGGACGGGCCGCUGGUGCAUCGGUUAGACUGCCAAGUCUACGGCCGAGUAGCCAAGCCCGGAAGGGAUAAACGCUGAAGGCAUCUAAGCGUGAAGCCCCCCUUAAGAUGAGAUAUCCCAUUCGAAAGAAGUAAACCCCCUUGAAGACGACGAGGUAGAUAGGGCAGAGGUGGAAGUGUGGCAACACAUGGAGCUGACUGUUACUAAUCGGGUGAGGGCUUGACC